rnacentral:lncRNA from 1 species
GAAGAAGUUGGUUAUGGGGACGUCUGUGAGCAGUAUCUGCGACAUUGCUCGCAGGAAUGUUCGGGGAACUGGUGACAGGAGUGGGGUCUCGGGAGCGUUGGUGGCGGAAAACGUCUGGCUGAUAGUGUAGGGCUCUUACUGAGGGCUGUUUGGGGGUGUGGCUGAUAGCUGAGGGCUCUUAGAGCGGUUCAUAGGGGAAGUCUGGGGAAUUGGUGACAAGAACGGUCUUUAGGGGUAAGAAUGACAUAAGGAGGGCUUUCUAGAGCUUGGCGAUAACAAGGGAGCUGUUUAGGGCGUUGACAGUUUGGGGAGUAUUGCUCGGAGUGGUGACAGGUUGGGGGCUCAUUAUGGGAGGGGAGGGUGUUUGAGGACACUGUUGGAAGCGGCACUGAGGACAACCCGGAGGUCCGUAUUAGGGACAGCCGUAGUAGGUUGUCUUGGACCUAGAAAUUGAAUUUAAACAAAUCCCGUUUUCUUCCUUUAUUCGUGAAUAAAUAUUUGAAUAAACAUUUACGAAAAGGUAUCACAAAUGCACAUUUGAGGCGGGGUACGGUGGCUCACGCCUGUAAUCCCAACACUUUGGGAGGCCGACGCGGGUGGAUCACCUGAGGUCAGGAGUUGAAGACCAGCCUGGCCAACAUGGUGAAACCCCGUCUCUACUAAAAAUACAAAAAUUAGCCAGGCAUGGUAGUGGGCGCCUGUAGUCCCAGCUCCUCGGGAGGCUGAGGCAGGAGAAUCGUUUGAACCAGGGAGGUGGAGGUGGCAGUGAGCCGAGAUCACACCACUGCACUCCAGCCUGGGCAACAGAGCAAGACUCCGCCUCAAAAAAAAAUGCACAUUUGAGGAGUGUAACAUCACUGAUCACAGACCCCUUAAUUUUAACUGGCAGAGGAGUUAGAGGUGACUGUCAGACUCGGAGAAUUCCCCUGAGAGCUGGUCAUGAGAUGGGUUUCCUUAUUUGGCUGUGGGAGUGGUUUAGCAAUCACAGCCUGAGCUGUGUGUGUGUCACCUGCCCGGACAUAUGCUUUGAGGUUCUCCAAUCAGUGAUGUAAUGCCUUUUUUCCAAGCAGACUCAUCAAGGCAGUCUGGUCUGGGUCACCAUCUGUUUAUAAGCUGCUGAACAUGUAGCAGGAAUAUUCACUUAAUUGGGCACAUGAACCCUGCCACGUGCUUGUGAUUCUGAUGCACCUGUAAAGCCUGUAUGUUUGAAUGUGGUAGUUCAUCAUUUCCUACACUGGAAAUUCCUGAUCGAUGCUGUGGAAUCUAGCUUCAUUCUAUAAGUAUUUUUGUUAUUUUAAGACUGUGUGUCUGAGUAACUAGAAUAGGUUUUUUUGUUUCUUUGUUUUUGUUUUUGUUUUUUGGAGACAGGGUCUUUCUCUGUCACCCAGGCUGGAGUUCAGUGGCACAAUCUUGGCUUACUGCAGUCUGCCUCCUGGGUUCAAGCGAUUCUGCUGCCUCAGCCUCCUGAGUAGCUGGGACUACAGGGACACACCACCACACCCAGCUAAUUUUUGUAUUUUUGGUAGAGAUGGGGUUUUGUCAUGUUCGCCAGGCUGGUCUUGAACUUCUCACCUCAAGUAAGUGAUUUGCCCGCCUCGGCCUCCCAAAGUGCUAGGAUUACAGGUGUGAGCCACUGCAUCUGUUUGUUUGUUUUUAAUGAAGUGGAAAAAAUCCUUUGAAUUUCCUACUUAGAAAUUAUUGUUACAUACAAGAGCUCUGUGCUAGGUGCUGGGGAAAAACAGUGAAGAAGACAGAUGACAUCCCUAUUCUCAUGGGUGGCAGCAUGAGAUAUUCUUGUCCCCCUGACAUAUUCUAGUGGGAUAAGACAAAAAAUAAGUAUGUUAGGUAAUGAUAGGUGCUAUUUCGAAAAAUAAAGCACAGUAGGUGACUAGAGAGUGUGGUGGGAUGGAAUGCUAAUUAGAUAAAGUGCCUGGCAUAUUCUAGGGAACCCCUGUGGCUGGAGCUGAAUAAAUGAGAGAGGAGAGUGUGUUAUGAGACAAAUUCAAAGAUAUCUAGAACAAAACUGUGUUGAGCUUUGAAUUCCAUGCAAAGAGCUUUGGAUUUUAUUUAGAAUGAGAUGAGAAGUCAGUGUAGGGGUUUAAGCAGAGACGUAACACAAUCUGCCUUUCCUUUUCAAAAGGCUAGCUUAGUAGACUGUAGGCGCUGAGGGUGGAAGCAGGGAAAUAGUUGAGACACUAUUGUGAUAAUCCUGGUGAAAGAUGAUGUUGGCUUUGGCCAAGGUGGGGUCUACAGAGGUGAUGGGAAGCAGUUGUAUUCUGGAUAUAUUUCGAAGGUAAAACUGGUAACAGUUGCUGAUAGAUUGGAUGUAAGACAUGAGGGACAGAUCAAAAUCAAGGUUUUUGGAAGGAUGGAAUUGCCAUUUACUGAAAUAGGGUGGAGCCAGCUUGGGGAGUGAAAAACAAGAGUUUGGUUUUUGAGAUAUUAAAUAUGAGAUGUCCAAGGGACAUACACAAGUGAAGAUGUAGAGUUGGUGAAUGGUGCUAUGAGUCUCAAAUUUAGAG